GAUGAACGCUGGCGGCGUGCCUAAUACAUGCAAGUCGAGCGAACAGACGAGGAGCUUGCUCCUCUGACGUUAGCGGCGGACGGGUGAGUAACACGUGGAUAACCUACCUAUAAGACUGGGAUAACUUCGGGAAACCGGAGCUAAUACCGGAUAAUAUAUUGAACCGCAUGGUUCAAUAGUGAAAGACGGUUUUGCUGUCACUUAUAGAUGGAUCCGCGCCGCAUUAGCUAGUUGGUAAGGUAACGGCUUACCAAGGCAACGAUGCGUAGCCGACCUGAGAGGGUGAUCGGCCACACUGGAGCUGAGACACGGUCCAGACUCCUACGGGAGGCAGCAGUAGGGAAUCUUCCGCAAUGGGCGAAAGCCUGACGGAGCAACGCCGAGUGAGUGAUGAAGGUCUUCGGAUCGUAAAACUCUGUUAUUAGGGAAGAACAAAUGUGUAAGUAACUAUGCACGUCUUGACGGUACCUAAUCAGAAAGCCACGGCUAACUACGUG
rnacentral:rRNA from 1 species